AAUGACUGGUUUCACGUGUCCAUCCAUGUCUGAAUCAGCUGUUACUGUCCUUGUUGCAGUUUCUGUCCAUGGUGGUCUGAUAUCUCAAAGCUGAUCAAGUUCCUGGUGGGUCUCCUGUCUCAAGCAGUAGAGUGGGAGGAGCAGUCAGGAGAGAAGACACUGAAGCUGGUAUCAUCAGUGUGUACUUACAGAACCUUCCCUUUCUGUGACGGGGAUGAUGAGGAUGAGUGGUUUCAAUGUGAUCUCCUGCUGGAUCUGUACUCACAUGUGGAGGACUAUGAGACUAAAACAGGCAGGAGUGUCCUUCCAUCAUUGAGACCACUUUAUCAGUCAGCUCCUGCAGUCUGGUCCAUAGACCUCUCAGAGAGAAAGGCCUCCCUCCUCCUAGAAGUGCUGAAACUCCAACCAGAGAAGAAACCAGUACAGCUGAAAGGCUGGUCAGAUGAAGAGAGUGAAGUGAGGAGUUUCCUUCAGUGUCUGCCUUACAUCUCACAGCUGAGGUGAGUUGGAUCAGUACAGCUCAGGUGAGUUGGAUCAGUACAGCUCAGGUGAGUUGGAUCAGUACAGCUCAGGUGAGUUGGAUCAGUACAGCUCAGGUGAGUUGGAUCAGUACAGCUCAGGUGAGUUGGAUCAGUACAGCUCAGGUGAGUUGGAUCAGUACAGCUCAGGUGAGUUGGAUCAGUACAGCUCAGGGAUUGUUGUCUGUCCCUGUAUUUCACUUUUAAAAAGGAAGUUUGUUCGUAACAACCGAAUAUGCUAAACAUACACAUACUGUUUUGGAAAGAUACAAUCUUACUUUGUGGUGAUGAUUAUAAGGAACAGUUGAAGUGGAUGAUGAGUUUAGAAAGAUACAGUCUUACUUUGUGGUGAUGAUUAUAAGGAACAGUUGAAGUGGAUGAUGAGUUUAGAAAGAUAGUCAUGUUAUUUGACCUGCUAUAAUGUGACCAUCUGAAAUGCAGAUUAUAUCUCACAUAUUCAUCUAUUUGUUGUUAAACUGUUCAUGCAGUUUUACUCCACCACAGUAUCAGAGAAGAUCCCCUGAAGAGUGGAGAAAGAGAGAGAAGACAUUCCUACUGAAUCUGUGUCUUCAAGCAGCCCUCCAUGAGAGAGAAACCAUACAAACAACUGUAGGGAAAGUGUUGUCACUGUCUGAAGUUUAUCAGGGUCGGAAAUGGGAUCUCCUGCUGGAUCUGUACUCUCACGUGAAGGACUAUGAGACUAAAACAGGCAGGAGUGUCCUUCCAGCAUUACAGCCAGUUUACCAGUCAGCUCCUGCAGUCUGGUCCAUAGACCUCUCAGAGAGAAAGGCUUCCCUCCUCCUUGAAGUGCUGAAACUCCAACCAGAGAAGAAAUCAGUAGAGCUGUGGGACUGGUCAGAUGAAGAGAGUGAAGUGAGGAGUUUCCUUCAGUGUCUGCCCUACAUCUCACAGCUGAGUUUUACUCCACCACAGUAUCAGAGAAGAUCCCCUGAAGAGUGGAGAAAGAGAGAGAAGACAUUCCUACUGAAUCUGUGUCUUCAAGCAGCCCUCCAUGAGAGAGAAACCAUACAAACAACUGUAGGGAAAGUGUUGUCACUGUCUGAAGUUUAUCAGGGUCGGAAAUGGGAUCUCCUGCUGGAUCUGUACUCUCACGUGAAGGACUAUGAGACUAAAACAGGCAGGAGUGUCCUUCCAGCAUUACAGCCACUUUACCAGCCAGCUCCUGCAGUCUGGUUCAUAGAUCUCAGAAAGAGAAACGUCUCCCUCCUCCUAGAAGUGCUGAAACUCCAACCAGAGAAGAAAUCAGUAGAGCUGUGGGACUGGUCAGAUGAAGAGAGUGAAGUGAGGAGUUUCCUUCAGUGUCUGCCCUACAUCUCACAGCUGAGUUUUACUCCACCACAGUAUCAGAGAAGAUCCCCUGAAGAGUGGAGAAAGAGAGAGAAGACAUUCCUACUGAAUCUGUGUCUUCAAGCAGCCCUCCAUGAGAGAGAAACCAUACAAACAACUGUAGGGAAAGUGUUGUCACUGUCUGAAGUUUAUCACAAUCAGAAAUGGGAGCUCCUGCUGGAUCUGUAUUCUCAUGUGAAGGACUAUGAGACUCAAACAGGCAGGAGUGUCCUUCCAGCAUUACAGCCAGUUUACCAGUCAGCUCCUGCAGUCUGGUCCAUAGACCUCAGAAAGAGAAUGGUCUCCCUCCUCCUAGAAGUGCUGAAACUCCAACCAGAGAAGAAACCAGUACAGCUGAAAGGCUGGUCAGAUGAAGAGAGUGAAGUGAGGAGUUUCCUUCAGUGUCUGCCCUACAUCUCACAGCUGAGGUUUGCUCCACCACAGGAUCAGAUAGGAUCCCCUGAAGAGUGGAGAAAGAGAGAGAAGACAUUCCUACUGAAUCUGUGUCUUCAAGCAGCCCUCCAUGAGAGAGAAACCAUACAAACAACUGUAGAGAAAGUGUUGUCACUGUCUGAAGUUUAUCAGGGUCGGAAAUGGGAUCUCCUACUGGAUCUGUACUCUCAUGUGAAGGACUAUGAGACUCAAACAGGCAGGAGUGUCCUUCCAGCAUUACAGACAGUUUACCAGUCAGCUCCUGCAGUCUGGUCCAUAGACCUCAGAGAGAGAAAGGUCUCCCUCCUCCUAGAAGUGCUGAAACUCCAACCAGAGAAGAAAUCAGUAGAGCUGAAAGGCUGGUCAGAUGAAGAGAGUGAAGUGAGGUGUUUCCUUCAGUGUCUGCCCUACAUCUCACAGCUGAGGUGAGUCUGAACAUGUGUGGUGGUUAGUGAUUAUGUGAUGCUAGUGAUUGUCUUUUAGAAACCUGGUAAAUAUAAAAGUUCAAAUGUUGGUGAAUCUGGUAACAUUUAUAC
rnacentral:lncRNA from 1 species